rnacentral:rRNA from 1 species
AUUGAACGCUGGCGGCAGGCCUAACACAUGCAAGUCGAACGGUAACAGGAAGCAGCUUGCUGCUUUGCUGACGAGUGGCGGACGGGUGAGUAAUGUCUGGGAAACUGCCUGAUGGAGGGGGAUAACUACUGGAAACGGUAGCUAGUACCGCAUAACGUCGCAAGACCAAAGAGGGGGACCUUCGGGCCCCUUGCCAUCGGAUGUGCCCAGAUGGGAUUAGCUAGUAGGUGGGGUAACGGCUCACCUAGGCGACGAUCCCUAGCUGGUCUGAGAGGAUGACCAGCCACACUGGAACUGAGACACGGUCCAGACUCCUACGGGAGGCAGCAGUGGGGAAUAUUGCACAAUGGGCGCAAGCCUGAUGCAGCCAUGCCGCGUGUAUGAAGAAGGCCUUCGGGUUGUAAAGUACUUUCAGCGGGGAGGAAGGGAGUAAAGUUAAUACCUUUGCUCAUUGACGUUACCCGCAGAAGAAGCACCGGCUAACUCCGUG